GAGACUAUACUUUCAGGGAUCAUAUCUAUAGUAUGUUACUAGAGAAGUUUCUCUGAACGUGUAGAGCACCGUCUCAAUAAAUUAGGUAUUGA
rnacentral:snoRNA from 1 species